UACGUAGGGUGCGAGCGUUGUCCGGAAUUACUGGGCGUAAAGAGCUCGUAGGUGGUUUGUCGCGUUGUUCGUGAAAACUCACAGCUUAACUGUGGGCGUGCGGGCGAUACGGGCAUCACUGGGGUUCGGCAGGGGAGACUGGAAUUCCUGGUGUAGCGGUGAAAUGCGUAGAUAUCGAGAGGAACACCUGCGGCGAAGGCGGGUAGCUGGGCCGACACUGACGCUGAUGCGCGAAAGCCAGGGGAGCGAACGGG
rnacentral:rRNA from 1 species